CCUACGGGAGGCAGCAGUGAGGAAUAUUGGUCAAUGGGCGCGAGCCUGAACCAGCCAAGCCGCGUGAAGGAGGAAUGCACUGCGGGUUGUAAACCUCUUUUAUCAAGGAAUAAAGUGAGGGACGUGUGCCCUGAUGAGUGUACUUUAUGAAAAAGGAUCGGCUAACUCCGUGCCAGCAGCCGCGGUAAUACGGAGGAUCCGAGCGUUAUCCGGAUUUAUUGGGUUUAAAGGGUGCGUAGAUGGGAUGUUAAGUCAGUUGUGAAAGUUCGGGGCUCAACCGUAAAAUUGCAAUGGAUACUGGCAGUUUGGAGUACAGUUGAGGGAGGCAGAAUGCGUGGGGUAGCGGUGAAAUGCUUAGAUA
rnacentral:rRNA from 1 species